rnacentral:rRNA from 1 species
UACGAAGGGUGCAAGCGUUACUCGGAAUUACUGGGCGUAAAGCGUGCGUAGGUGGUUCGUUAAGUCUGAUGUGAAACCCCCAGGCUCAACCUGGGGACGCCACUCGAUACUGCUGUGACUAGAGUCCGGUAGGGGAGCGUGGAAUUCCUGGUGUAGCGGUGAAAUGCGCAGAUAUCAGGAGGAACACCAGCGGCGAAGGCGGCGCUCUGGGCCGGUACUGACACUGAGGAGCGAAAGCGUGGGUAGCAAACAGG